UUGGUGUUGUUCAAGUGUGCAUUGAUGGAAGCUUCCAAAGGGUCUAUAGCUUCUUGGGGAUGUGGUGCCCUUCUAGCAGGAAGGGAUACCAUGGAGAAUGAAAAAAAAUAAAAUUUGAUUUCUAAGCGGGACAUUUUUGUCAUUUUAACGUCUAAUGUUUGCCAUAUUAUCAUGAUAACAAAUUUAUUUGACGCAACGAUAAAAAGUGUUAAAAAAUAAAAGUUAAGGGUUAUACCAGUUAAAUUUGAAAACUAAGAGACAAAAUAAUUUAUUUGUUAAGGUAAAGUAUAAGGUGUAACAAAUAGUUAGUAAGAUUUUUUUUUUUCUGGAUAGGCUGAAAUGGUAAAGUACAGGGUGUUAUAAUUGGCUGAAUAUGAGUAGGUAUUGGAAAACAUAAUUUGGGGAAUUUUCUACCGCCACUAUCCUCAACCUUCUACGUCGUCGAUCAACCGAUAAAUCCACAACCGCGCUAAAACCUCCACGAGGGAUCCUAAGACCCUCUAGCGCGCCCACUUUAAAGUUCGACCACCCACCUUUAGAGCGUUAGUGCGUUACUAAGACUCUUUUGUUGAGUUGAUGAUCGGUCGUGUUUGUGCAUCUCAACCAAUGACUCUGUUGUACUUUGGCAAAAAUUGAUAAUCACUUCCCGUAGUCCACUUGCCAAGGAGCCAAAGUUCUCACAUCCUUGCACCUUUGUAGUGGUUUGUAAACUCUGCAAGUUAAUAGUGUCGACAGCUGCAUGUCACGAACAUCACUUCUCUACAACUUCCAAUGUCGAGACUCAUUGUCCAGUCACACAUCCUCUAACAACGUUGCACCAAGUGGUUAGUACCGUUAUACCUUACGGGUACGUUUGGUACCCGGUACUACCUAAGCCAGUCUUAAAUAAGGAAUGAAACAAAGCUAAUCACACGUUUGGUCUCUCUCGGUACUAACAUUAAUGGGCUUAACUUGGACUGGUUUUCUGAUUUCUCCUCCUUAACCGGUGUUAUUGUGGGUACUCCGAAAAUCCUACCGUAGAUAAGACCUCACUAAUCUCACUAACUUCUCUACGCCUCCUCCUCCUUCGUCUCCCAAAUCUGCAUCUGCUCCGCGCCCUCCGCUCCCAGACCCGCGCCCUCUCCCGUCCUCAACCUCCUCCACCCUCUCCCUCGGCUCCUAGACCAGCGCCCUCUCCUGUCCUCAACCUCCUCCACCCUCGCCCUCGGCUCCCAGACCCGCGCCUUCUCCCGUCCUCAACCUCCUCUCUGACCCUCGCCCUUGGCUCCCAGACCCGCAUCCGAUCCCCUCCCGUCCACGCCCUCGGCUCCCAGACCCGCAUCCGCUCCCGUCCUCAACCUCCUCUGACCCGCGCCGUCGACACCUCCAAGGCCAAGCUCACCCCCAUCUUCUUCCCGGAUUCGUCAACAGGUAUGUCCAUCUAUUUCUUCCUUUCUCUCUUUUGAUAAUUAAUUGANN
rnacentral:lncRNA from 1 species